GGUGAUGUGGCUCAGUGGUAGAACACUUGCUUCACAUGCAUGAAGCCCUGGGUUCAAUCCCCAGGACCACAA
rnacentral:tRNA from 1 species